GCGGGUGUAGCUCAAUUGGAUAGAGCAUCGGUCUACGAAACCGAAGGUUGGAGGUUCGAGCCCUCCCACUCGCG
rnacentral:tRNA from 1 species